UUUGUCACUUUUCCCUCUAACACUCCCAACUCCCUCGGAACACAAUUCCCCUUUCCCUCUAAAUUUUUUCACUUUUCCCUCUAACACUCCCAACUCACGCUAACUGACAACACGCAACUGCGCGGCAAGACACCCAAAAAAAAACAAAAGACAAAAGCGAUUAAAGAUCAAAACAAUUGAAAAUAAGAAUACCUAACUUUCUUAGUGAGACCUGGGAGAGUGAGAGGCUGGGCAGCGGCAGCAGAGCAAUAGCAAAAGCAGGAAUUGGAAUCCCACAGAUUGCAGGGACAGCAAGAAAGCUGGGCAUUCUGGUGGUUGCGGAUGAAGUUUAUCACCAUCUCACUUUUGGAACUAAUCCAUUUGUGCCAAUGGGGGAGUAUUUGGAUCAAUAGUGCCUGUUCUCACACUAGGGUCCAUAUCAAAGAGAUGGCUUGUACCAGGUUGGCGACUAGGAUGGCUUGUGACUAGCGAUCCUAAUGGCAUCCUUCAAAAAACCAAGGUCAUCUCCCUCUUGUGUGUGUGUGCAUGCAUGCGCACAUUCAUGUUGUAGAUUGCAUUAUCAGUCUUCUCAAUCUGAUAUCUCAUCCACCAACGUUCAUUCAGUUGACGAUGAAUACAUUAUCAUUGGAUCUGCCAACAUUAGAGGUCAAUGGAUGGUGCCCGGGAUACAGAGAUUGUCAUGGGAGCCUAUCAACCAUUCCACCUAUCCACUAGGCAGCCAGCCAGGGGACAAAUCCACAGCUUCCGAAUGGCAUUGUGGUACGAGCACUUAGGCAUGCUAGAUAACUCCUUUCUCCAUCCGGAAAGUGUGGAAUGUGUCCAAAGAGUAUUGGGACCUCUACUCUAGUGAGACACUGAACCAUGACUUGCCAGGCCAUUUGCUCAGUUAUCCCAUUCAUAUCACUGAAAAAGGAUAGGUCAAAGAGCUACCUGGGAUAGAAUUCUUCCAAGACACAAAGGCUAAAGUUCUUGGAUCCAAGUCUGAAUUACUGCCUCCAAUUCUCACCACUUAAUUGCCUUGUACUGAUUUUAAAACUAAGCUUUUUUUUUUUUUUUUUUUGUUCAUCUUAUUUCCUAGUACCAUGAGUGAUUGGCAUUCACUGAUUGCUAUAUGUGUUGUGGAUAUGUAAAUAACAUUUUUACUAUAGUCUAGUUCAUGCAACUU